rnacentral:rRNA from 1 species
GACUCCUGCUCCAAAUGUUUUUUAAAUUGCUGUGGUAUUUUGACUAUACAAAGGUAUUGAAAUAAGAUUUUAAUUGAAUGCUAAGAGAAUGGAAGUCCAGAAAAAAACUUUUUUUAAAUUAAAAAUUGAAGUUUUUUUAAUUUGUGCAGAAACAAUUAUUUAUAUUAAAGACAAGAAGACCCUAUGAAUUUAUUAAAUUUUUAUUUAAUAUGUAAUUACUAUUAGAAAAAUUUUGGCUGGGGCGGCUAGAAAAUAUUAUGAACUUUUUAAAAAUAAAAUGAUCCAUUAUUAAUGAUUUUAUGUUAAAUACUCUAGGGAUAACAGCGUUAUAUUUUUUGAUAGAUCAUAUUGACAAAAAAGUUUGCGACCUCGAUGUUGGAUUAGGAUACUUUUUUAAUGAAGAUAUAAAAAAAGAAGUUGUCACA